rnacentral:rRNA from 1 species
CACGUAGGGGGCGAGCGUUGUCCGGAUUUACUGGGCGUAAAGGGAGCGUAGGCGGACUUUUAAGUGAGAUGUGAAAUACCCGGGCUUAACUUGGGUGCUGCAUUUCAAACUGGAAGUCUAGAGUGCAGGAGAGGAGAAUGGAAUUCCUAGUGUAGCGGUGAAAUGCGUAGAGAUUAGGAAGAACACCAGUGGCGAAGGCGAUUCUCUGGACUGUAACUGACGCUGAGGCUCGAAAGCGUGGGGAGCAAACAGGAUUAGAUACCCCGGUAGUCCCUGA